rnacentral:misc_RNA from 1 species
UCCGGUUUGUCACCGGCAGUCUGGCGUGAGUCCCCAACUUAAUGCUGGCAACACGCCACGGGGGUUGCGCUCGUUGCGGGACUUAACCCAACAUCUCACGACACGAGCUGACGACAGCCAUGCAGCAUCUGUGGUGCACCCUCGAAGGUCACACGUUUCCGUGCGCUUGCAGCACCAUGUCAAGCCCAGGUAAGGUGGGGAUGACGUGUCCUUGAUAGG